GGUAGCAUAAUCACUUGUCCCCUAAAUAGGGACUGGUAUGAACGGCUAAAUGAGGAUUAAACUGUCUCUUGUAAUUGACCUAUGAAACUGAUCUUGUAGUCCAAAAGCUACAAUAUAAACACUAGACGAGAAGACCCUGUGGAGCUUUUAAACCAAAACCAAAUAUAUGCCUCUUGGUUUUUAGUUGGGGCAACUUCGGAGUACAAACAAACCUCCGACAAACCACAAAUCAAGACAAACAAGUCUAAACUUCACUUGACCCAAUAGUUUUAUAAACUAUUUGACCAAUGAACCAAGUUACCCCAGGGAUAACAGCGCUAUCCUCUUUUAGAGUCCCUAUCGACAAGAGGGCUU
rnacentral:rRNA from 1 species